UACAGAGGGUGCGAGCGUUGUCCGGAAUCACUGGGCGUAAAGGGCGCGUAGGUGGCCCGACAAGUCUGUGGUGAAAGCUCGACGCUCAACGUCGAGUCGGCCAUAGAUACUGUUGGGCUGGAGCACUGUAGAGGCUCAUGGAAUUCCGGGUGUAGCGGUGAAAUGCGCAGAUAUCAGGAGGAACACCAAUGGCGAAGGCAGAUCUCUGGGCCGUAACUGACGCUGAGGAGCGAAAGCAUGGGGAGCGAACAGG
rnacentral:rRNA from 1 species